GAUGAACGCUGACAGAAUGCUUAACACAUGCAAGUCAACUUGAACUUCGGUUUGGGUGGCGGACGGGUGAGUAACGCGUAAAGAACUUGCCUCACAGAUAGGGACAACAUUUGGAAACGAAUGCUAAUACCUGAUAUUAUGAUUUUAGGGCAUCCUAGGAUUAUGAAAGCUAUAUGCGCUGUGAGAGAGCUUUGCGUCCCAUUAGCUAGUUGGAGAGGUAACGGCUCACCAAGGCGAUGAUGGGUAGCCGGCCUGAGAGGGUGAUCGGCCACAAGGGGACUGAGACACGGCCCUUACUCCUACGGGAGGCAGCAGUGGGGAAUAUUGGACAAUGGACCAAGAGUCUGGUCCAGCAAUUCAGUGUGCACGAUGAAGUUUUUCGGAAUGUAAAGUGCUUUCAGUUGGGAAGAAAAAAAUGACGGUACCAACAGAAGAAGUGACGGCUAAAUACGUG
rnacentral:rRNA from 1 species